GUGCCUCACAUCCGAGUGGAAUUUCGUGAAACGAUAUGGAGAGAGGAGAUGCAACAGGUCUAUCUUGGCAAGGCCAUUAUCCCUGAAGAAGUGGACAAGUAAAUAGCAAGGAAUUGCUCAUAGUCCAUUCAUAAUGUGAUUAUGUAUAACUAUAAAGGAAGCGAAGAAUUUUGCUUGCUCAGUUAGAAUUUUGAGAAGGGCAGCAUGCAUCUGUUCAUGCUAACUGAGAACUGGAUCAACAUGCUAAAGAUAAAUUGAACUUUGUUCGAGAACCAAGACCAUAUACCUGAUAAAAUUGGUGUGACUUUGAUGACAUCUGGAUUACAGCAACAAGAUGGCAACAUUGUGCCCGCUGAAAUAACUGAAUGUGGUCUGCCAUGUUAGACGUAGCUUAAGGUAAAAUGAUAUUAUACAUCAUAGAAUGAAUUUUGUGGCGUUAGAAUAUAAUAGACAAUAAAAUGGGCAAAGGGCAAGAAUGAUCUCUUGCUUCCUUGUCUUUCAGAUGAAUGCUUCAUCAAAUUUUGAAUGUAUUUCUGAUCACAGUUUAAGAAAGUUUUGUAUUGUGAGCAAAGAAAUUUCAUUGUUU
rnacentral:misc_RNA from 1 species